rnacentral:rRNA from 1 species
ACCUGCGGAGGGAUCAUUACCGAGUUAGGGUCCUCACAGGCCCGACCUCCCAACCCAUUGUUUAUGAUACUCAGUGUUGCUUCGGCAGGCCUGGUCUUUGACCUGCCGGAGGGCCGUAACACGCCCCCCGGAGAGCGCCUGCCGACGGCCCCAACUUCAAAAUUCUUAACUAAACAUGUCUUUGUCUAAGUAAAGUCUUUAAUAAAAGCAAAACUUUCAACAACGGAUCUCUUGGUUCUGGCAUCGAUGAAGAACGCAGCGAAAUGCGAUAAGUAAUGCGAAUUGCAGAAUUCUCGUGAGUCAUCGAAUCUUUGAACGCACAUUGCGCCCUUUGGUAUUCCGAAGGGCAUGCCUGUUCGAGCGUCAUUUUCACCCCUCAAGCCCCCGGCUUGGUGUUGGACGGUUUGGUCCCGGGACCCCCCUGGACCCCUCCCAAAGACAAUGACGGCGGGCUGUCGCACCCCCGGUACACUGAGCAUCUUCACGGAGCACGUACCGGUCUUCAGGGACGACGGCACCCGGUCUCACACCUAUAUCUUUCAAGGUUGACCUCGGAUCAGGUAGGAAUACCCGCUGAACUUAAGCAUAUCAAAAGCCCGGAGGAAA